rnacentral:tRNA from 1 species
GCACUCAUAGCUCAGCUGGAUAGAGCGUCGCCCUCCGAAGGCGAAGGUCGGUGGUUCGAAUCCACCUGAGUGCG